CCUACGGGUGGCAGCAGUGGGGAAUAUUGGACAAUGGGGGGAACCCUGAUCCAGCCAGGCCGCGUGUGUGAAGAAGGCCCUCGGGUUGUAAAGCACUUUCAGUGAGGAAGAACGCCUGGUGGUUCAUACCCAUCAGGAAAGACAUCACUCACAGAAGAAGCACCGGCUAACUCCGUGCCAGCAGCCGCGGUAAUACGGAGGGUGCGAGCGUUAAUCGGAAUUACUGGGCGUAAAGCGCGCGUAGGUGGCUUGAUAAGCCGGUUGUGAAAGCCCCGGGCUCAACCUGGGAACGGCAUCCGGAACUGUCAAGCUAGAGUGCAGGAGAGGAAGGUAGAAUUCCCGGUGUAGCGGUGAAAUGCGUAGAGAUCGGGAGGAAUACCAGUGGCGAAGGCGGCCUUCUGGACUGACACUGACACUGAGGUGCGAAAGCGUGGGUAGCAAACAGGAUUAGAUACCCUUGUAGUC
rnacentral:rRNA from 1 species